ensembl:lncRNA
GUGAAACGGCGCGUUUUCGAGGGAGAGCGGCUGAAAGAUGGGUGAAGUGAGUUCCACGUGGGGAUGAACGGACUCCUCGCGAAACCCCGGCUGAGUCCGACAGAAAUCAGUUGGUGCUGCGUGCGAGAACGUCUCGUUUACACUUCGCAAAACAGCCGGUGGUUUUCUGAGCGCAAUACUGAGCAAAACUCCUUUGAUCGCUUCAGGGCUGAAGGGAGCCUCGCUUGCCGGGGCACAGUGGGGAGGGACGGGGAGCGCAACCCCCCGUGGCACCGGGAAUGGGAAGAAAGCGGGGUUUUGUGUGGCCUCAGCUGCGAGAGUAGAGAGCGUCACUGGCGGGAGAGCAGCAGCCCUCAGCCCGCUGAGGGAUCCCAGCGCGCUCCAGAGCAGCGGGGUCACGGCCGCGGCCAGGCGAGGUGCUGCUUCUCCCCUGGCAGCACGAGAGAAUCCAAAGCUGGGAACACCAGGUCCCUUCGUGUGCAAGAUUAGUCUUUUCUUGCCUGUUGUAUGUUUAAAAUGUAAUGUAUUCUGAACCUUCUGGGACCUAACUCGCAGCUCCACAGGAUUCUGUUACCGAUGAGUCCGCGUGCGCAACCUCUCAUCAAACGCAAGAGGUGCUCCCAGGAUCUCAGCAUCUCUCUCCCAUGGCAGGGACGGGAUAGGCAGCACGAGGGGAAGUUGCUUAUAAGCACCGUCGUGUAGCGUCAGAGCUGCAGGUUUGAAAGCUCUGAGAGCCAACCUCACAGAACCUUCCUGCUCUGAGGCACCAGCACCUUGCUCAUUCACGAAAUCACUCUGAGGAAGAAGGCAAAAUGAAUUUUUGCAUUAGGGACACAUCACUGGUUUCUCCGUAGUGCUGAUAACACAACUUUAGUGAAAAUCUCGGACCUUUUGCUACACAGAAUAACCAUGUUGCCCUGAAUGGUUAUUGUUUAGUGAAACAUCUGAAAACACAUAAUAGACUACUUGUUUGCAACGCUUGCUAUAGAUUUUGUAAUGAAGUGCCGUUGCGCUGCAUCAAUUUGACAGUUCGAGUUGAUAAUUUGACAGAAAGAUUAAUCCUAAACUCCCAGCAUAAACAGAAUUCCCUUUAAUGUCAGAAGGGACUUUGUAACUGCCAGCCCAAACGCUGCGGAUGGGCUUCAGCAGGUUACAGAGAGCGUCUUCAGGAUCAAAUUUGACAUUCCUCUUCCUGACUAACAGUUGGUAGUUGAAAAUAGAACACCUCUCCCAGUUCUGAAUUCUGACCCUCACUUCUUGCUCACCCAAACCGAGGACUUCCAGACUUCUUUUCCCAAACGCUCACCGCGAAGGCUUUUGAAUGCAGAUGUUCACUCGUGUCUCCUGACAGUAGGCUCAGUUUUCUCAGCUACUUUUAGUAAGCUCCUAAAAACAGCCCACGGUCCCUCAGAACCUCAUCAACAACUGGCUAAAAGCCACGGUCUCACUGUAUCCUUUUUUCUUUUGGUAUCUACUACAGACUUUGGACAGGUACAAAAGUUCUACCUCUCUGGGUCCAGGUCUCUCUGUCUGACAGCACGUUAUUUCUGCAGCUGUCACAUCUCCUCAUUUUCUAGAGCUGUUAUUACCUUUACAUAAUACGUAUUAUUAUAUUACAUAUUCUUCAGAAGUUGUUCUUCCAGUGGCAACAUAUGGAGGACCAUCAACCGUCAAGACGGAAGUUCAUGCAACUGUCAAGACUGAAUUUCAUGCAUUCAGAAUGCUUAGGCACCAUCUGACACUCGUAGGCCAACCAGCCAUUCCGUGCAUACAGAAACAUGCCUGUGAACUUCUCCCUGCAGUCAGCUCCUUCAGCUCCCCACUUCCACGCCAGUGAUGUUAUUUCACCCACACCUUGCAGAAGGGGCGCAUUCCACUCAUUCCUGAGCUGGGACGAGCGCCCGCAGCAUUACUCACCCACAGCAGUGUCUGUAGAUCCCUGUCUGCUGUGGAUACUAAUCUCAAUCCAGAGCUUCCUCAGACGAUUAGAGGCUGUUCUGCAAAAUGUCAAUACGCAGCCUCUCCGAAGCCAACACGGUGUGGUGGUUGAAAUGGGAGCCGUGGAGGCUUUCCAAAUAUGAAGGUCUGGAAAUGUUUGGAGGUAUUUUAAUAUUGAUGAAUACUUCAGAUUUUUUUUUUUUUUUUUCUGUUGCUUCAGUGUAUCAGUGUCAAAUCAGUGCGGAUUAAUGGCAAGACAGAGCCCUAGUACCAUUCAUGUCUAUCAAAGUUCUGGCAAAUGCUAACAACUUACUGCUAUUAAUGAUCACUCUUUGCCCAGAAGUUCACAUAAUUCAUCAAAAAGCCAAUGUUGAUAAGCAGAAAGAAAUUAAAUACUUCUGAGUCUUCUGUUAAAAUGCCUUUCUUUUUACUUUGUUUAACAUCUAAUGUCUCCUACGGCAAAAGUAAGCAAGGGGAAGUCUUUUCCUUCUUCAGCACGAAAGAGCACCCACACCACUCAAAAACAGUUGAGAUUAAACCUUUGAAAAGGUAUCAGCAGUGUGUGUAAAGCCAAAUUGGUAAAGUGUGCCCUAGACACCACUUUUGACUCUGGGGAAAAUGCUUUAUCAUCUGUCUACUGCUACGCUCUGCCUAUUCAUCACCAUUACUCAGUAACUCUGCGGUGGCAGCUUUGUACUUAACAUGAAGCCAAAGAUCAGGGAGAGGCACACAUCAAACAAGACUUGAACUUGGAGAUGGCAAACCAUACGUUCUAGACCUCAUUCCUUUAAAGGACCGUACCUCGGAAUGAAACCUGUGAGCCUUCUCUAUAGUUUCAUUUGUUCAAUACAGUGCUACACUUGUUCUGUAAAAGAAGUUGGCAAAAGCCCUGCUUUCCUGAGAUCUUGUCAUUCAUUGUGACUGAAACCUAAAAGGCUGCCCUAUGGUACUAGGGCAGGUCUGGGGUACCUGAGAGAUCUACCUGCUCCCUAUGCCUCCAUUCCACUUUCUUCACACACCUUGAAACCAAGGAACUGUCAAACACAGAAGCAAAGAUGGCGAGGGGUGUACACCCCCAUUCUUUGCAGCUUUCCAUGGCUGUAAAGUUCCCUGUGAAGUGACCCGAGAAUAUGUACAAUGACAGAAAACUCAUUUCUUCACCCGCCAUUUCUCAACAACAGCCAGUUCCAGCCCUUGUCAUUCUUCUACUUCUCCACACAGAUGAAGGCAGGAGAGAAUUCUCUUGGUUUCACUUUAAUAAAUGAGUAAGUCUCACAGGCAUUACAAUGGUAGGAGGAGAUGCAGAAAAGUUGUGUGUGGUUGGGAUACGAUGGAAAUUUCUCUGUUAUUUUAAAAUUAUUUCUUCCUUUAUAAUAGAUCAUUUGUGCUUAUACACUCCUGAAAAUGCUUUUAUAGCAAUCUACAUCAAGUUCUUCCUAAAAAGCAUCCCUCCUCUUUUUGUCUUUUUGUGAAGAAUAGAUUUUUUUUUUACAAUAAAGAUAGUGGUUUAUACAUUUGCUCAUAAUUCUGUAUUUCCCCCGUGAGCUUUAUUACAUGAUAUAGUAUGUCAGUUUAAGUAACAUCUGUCAAGGGAUGGAAAACAAU